GUUGUAGUCCCUGCUAACAAGCGAACGCGUGUAAAUAAUGGUGGUCCGAUGCCUCCUGCUAAAGCUGGCCGUUUGACGAAUGCAUAUGUCUCAUCUUUCCCGGCACCUCCUCCAUUUGUAAGGUCUCCCUCCCACACCCAGUACCCUGCUCCAGUCCCAGGAUACCCAUCCCCACCUCCCAUGUAUGGAAGCAGGAGCCCACCCACCAACCCCUAUGCUUACUCACCAGAAGCAGCCCCUCCUCCCCUUGCUGGUUCAUACCCUGGAGCUCCCAUGAACUAUCCUGCAUACGGGGGCUACGGUAAUGGUUUGGCACCAGCAUAUCAGCAGGCUUACUACCGAUAGACAACGAUGACACUACUCUGGCGAUGGUAACCACUGAUACGCUGACUACCGACCCAUCUAAGUUUUUAUUUCUAAAUGGUUUGUUUGUAAUCACUAACCGUUUAAUGGUAGCGAUAUCUGUGUGUUUAAUUAAUAACUGCCGUGCUUCUUGCUUUUGCCCAAAGUAAGAAGCUGUAUCUCUAAUGUUGAUCAGAACUCUAGUACUAGGUGAUUGUGAAGUAGUAAUCAUGAUGGUAAGCAUAACAAUGUCUAAACUCGAGACUACCCCCAUGUAGGAUUUAGUUGUAGAAAAAUGUUGUACUGUUUAUCUGAUCUGAGCCUUUUACUUUUACAUCCCGUUGUGCUUUUUAAUUGCUUCUCAAAGGGGAACCAAAUGCCAUUUAUUGAUGUCUUAAUCAUUGCUAGACAGUCUUUGAUUCCAUUGAACAUGCAUAUUCGUUUAUAUGGAAGCUGAGACUGUUGUGGGGACUUUAAAGGUACCCCAUUUCUCUCUUUAUGUGUUUGUGUCCUUUGGAUGACCUUUAAGCAAAGUAAGCCUGAAUGCCGACUGUCUCACAUUCAAUGCCUUACUUACAAGUACACUUUUUUUCUUCACUUCAGCUUUCUCCUUUUUUUUCCCAGCUGUUUGCAUCCCAUAGAGCCAUCAGACAUUAAAGUAGGCUUUACUCAUCAAAAAACUUUUUAUCUUCAUACUUGUAAAGCAUCUCUUACUUGGGGUACCAACUAUUCGAUGAUUUGCGACUUAAAGCUUCCUCAGUGCUGAAGUUUUGUUCCUUUCCAUCGACUCAACCCCAAAUCCAACGGCUUUUCAUUGCUUAGAAACCAUUGCAUUCCCAUAUCCUAGUUUCCUUUCUGGGUAGUGUUUGCUCCAGCAACCACAUCAGCAAAUUAAUCCACUAGGAUCCAUCUUUCUCCUGAACGUAUUGAACCUGGCAAGUUUCAUAGGGUUUAGUUCAUUGCUUGGAAUCAAGAAACCUGAUAACAUUGACAGUCAAAUUCCACUCUGUUAGCGAUGGUCUCAAUUAUUGAACAGGAUGGUCUUCUCACGAUGGUCUCAACGCUAACAAUUCGCAGUAGAGAAUAUAAUUUAUUAGGGUUAAUAGGCAAAUUUAUCCGGAAAGUAUACUUCAUUUUGGUUGAUCUUUGUCAUUAUCUUUAUGAACUAGAGAUAGAUUUACCUCUGUACUUUUAACUCCAUAUUGGAAUUUGUGGUUUUACUUUUAUUUGAUUGAAUUUUGCCAUUUUUAUUAACUUUUCUAUUCAAUUUUAAUUUAAAAUAGUUUGAAGAGAAAAUUUAAUGUUUUUUCAUAAUUUUCUUUAAUAUUUAACAAUAAUAAUUAAUAUAAUAUUAAAUAUAAUAAACUUUUUUUUCUUUUAGGAUAUAUGUAUUUUAUUUUUCAAGUUUCUAUUUCAGUAAAUAGAAAUUCUUAUUUAGUUUACUAAAUUUUAAUAUUUAUAAGUUAAAUUAUUGUUAACUAUUAAAAUAAAAUAUUUGAAGAAUUUUUCUUAUCAGAUUAUGUUCCCAAAUUAUCAAAAUUAAUAAUGAGCGGUAAAUUUAAAUAAAAUUUAAAGUUUGGUGAUAAAAUUUAAUUACAUAAGAGUAAACUCACUCAUGGUUUCAAAUUAUAAUGAAAAAUAUCAAUACUCACCUAUAAUAUAUACACUUUAAUCUAAUUUAUUAUAAAUUUAUUGAAUAAAACAAAUAAUUCAUUAACGUUACAAUUUAUUUAUUUAUUUAUACUUAAUGUAUUUUUUAUGUAAACAAAAUUAUGUUUUAGUUUCAAACAACUUUUUACUAUUUCAAUAAAUAGUACGAAGGGGAGAAAACAUACCCUUUCAAGUUAUAUUUCAUAUAAGUAACUUCUUUACACCAGACGAUCUCACGUUUUUUAGAAACUUUGGUGGUAAAAUAACUAUGAAGCCACGGGUAGCUUAAUUCUUUUUAUUAGAUCAAAGUGUAAGUUGACUUUUUUUUUUUUAAUUUCAUACAAUUAUUGGAUUAAUUAAGUAGUUAUACAUGACGUGUCAUAUACAUUUCUUGUUGACAUACAUAAACCAAUUUUUAACCUUAAAAAUAAAUUAAAUUUUCAACAAAAGAUUGGAUUCUAAAACAACUAAUUUGGUUUUUUUUUUUAAUAAAGAAAACAAAAUGCAAUAGAAUCUCCGCUUUGGUUCCAUUGGAGGAGUGGCUGUUUUCUUAUUUGUCUUCUGGAAUGUCAAGAGAGUGUGUAUGAUAAACUAGCUUUCAGCCUUCAGAUGUUUGCUUAGUUGAUGAAACAAGUGCAUCCUCCACAAGCUUUCUGUGUUUCAGUUUUCCAAGCAGCUGGUAAUGGUCGCUUUGUUACUUAUAUUUAGUCAAUAAUACCCGCAUUCUCAGCUGCACCUAAACUACUAGUUGCUGAAAUAUCAUGAAAUAAAGAUGAGAAUGCAGUGCACAUUUUAUAUUCUUAGAAGAAUACAUAAAUAAAGGAUCAAUUCAACACCAUUCUCUUCCUCCUCAAUCCGGGAAAAUAACCUAUGAAGAUAUUAAAUAAGUUUUAACUCCAAUUCAUUCAAGAUAAAAACACAGCAUCCAACAUACAGACACACACAAAAACAGUUCCAGUGUCAAUCAUUAGCUGUUUUUAACUGCAAAGAAAGCAGUUCUUCUUCAGGGAUAGUCUUGAUAUGGCAAUCUGAAGUUGGAUAAGCUACACAAAGUAAUGCAAACCCACGGUCUAUAACAUCAUCACUAAGCAUACCUUCACUUUGAUCAACGGUUCCACUUAGGAGCUUAGCAGGGCAAGUCAUGCAAACCCCAAGUUGACAAUCAUAUGGCACGGUUAUGCCCAAGUCCAAUGCCUUUGAUAGUAUGGUCUCAUCCUCUUCCACCUCUAGCUCGGUAGACUUGCCUUCAUGCUCCAAUACAACUUUGUAAGACCUUGCUAUCAAAGUCGACAAUCUUUUGAAAGACCCAUGGUGGGUUUUGGGGUUGAACUUCGAUUGGGAGGUUGAAAUUGUGGUGGGGUGUUUUGGUUUGUUGACAAUUAAGGGAGGAGUACAAGGAGAUGGAGUGAAAUGAAGGGUAGCCAUUGUUUUUUCCCUUUUGCUGCUGAGGACAGCGAGAAGCUUGUUUUCAGGGUUAGGGGAGUGUGUGGUGUUGGAAAAAAGAUAAGGUUUUCCCCUAUUUUUUAAUUAUAAAGUAUACUUGGGUAAACUGAACCAACAGUCCCUAAAUUUUGUUUAAAUUUUCAUUUCAGUCAUUCAACUUUUAAAGGUUAUAUGAUAGACACUAACAUUAUCGAAUUGUUAUAUUUUAGUCACCCAAUUUUUAUUAACCCCUUAAAAAUGAUGAUGUGACAUGUUAACUCAACAGAUCAAUAACUAACUUGGUACAUGUAGCCAAAAUAUUAGUUUUGUACUUUUAUAUAUAUUUUUAACGAUGUAAUCUUUUCAAAAAAAAAUAUGAUUCUUUUAGAACCUUUUUAGAAUUAUUGUUAAGUAAAUAUAUAAAAAUACAAAACUAAUAUUUUACCUACACUUCAGGGAUCAAUUUAGUUAUUAAUCCUUGAGUUAAACAUGUUAUGUCAUCAUUUUGUUAAAGAGUAGCGGGAGUCAUCAAACGAGUGAUCAAAAUGUAACAAUUUGACAAUGUUAGUGACUAUACGUAAUUUUAAACAAAAUUUAGAGCCUGUUGAUGCAAUUUUCCCAAUAUAACUUACCUUAAAAACUACUACUUGUCUUCUAAAUUUUUCCAUAAAAUCUAAGAAGACCAAAUAAUCAUGGAUCAGGUCACAGAUUCAUCAAUCAAUCUAAAAAAUUGGUUUAAUCAGUUAAUACCAAUUUUCAAUUUAAUCACUUCAAAGCUAUACUUCAGAUGGUACCUGCAAAUCGAAUCAAAUUAAACACUACAAUUUCAAGAUUAUUUUAGAUUUUUUGGAAUUAAAAAAAUCAAUUAAGGACCGAAAUUGAUCCAUUUUCCAAAAUUGUUGCAAUUUAAAACCUCUCACUGUUGAAUUUGAGCCUCAAAACAGGUUAGAUUCAGAAAAGGCCCCUCCUUUCUUUCUAUUUUGAGAAAAAAAUUAAUUAAAGACAACAUAUAUAUUUCUGAUUAAUUAUAUAAUAUAUUCAUAUUCAUAGCUCUACAGUCUACACCAUCCGUUACAGUCCAUCAGCUCUUUAGAGUUUAGACCAAGUCAAUUAUUUAAUCUAUUCUAUUCUAUUCUAUUUUAUAUUUAAUUUUUCUCUUAUUCUUCUUUUUUUUUUUUUCGAAAAGAGAUUUUUUUUUAUUAAGGUUGAUUGAUUUUUUGUGUGUUUUAUAGGUUUUUUUUUUCUUCAUUUCAGUUAUCUGGAAAAUGGCGAACGAUAGUGUUGGGAUUGCCAAAGAUGUCACCGAAGUAAAAUUUCUCUUCCCUUCUUUUAUGUUUAAAUACUGCAUUAUUUUGACCUUCCUUUUUAAUUGUUGCAAUGAUUUAUUUACUGUUUAUCCUUUUUUUUUAAUUUUUCGGGGUUUGUUUAAUUUUAGUUGAUUGGCAAAACUCCAUUGGUAUAUCUUAACAAAGUGGUGGAUGGUUGUGUUGCUCGCAUUGCUGCUAAGCUUGAAAUCAUGGAACCCUGUUCUAGUGUCAAAGACAGGUUACCCCCAUUUUCCUUUAAAUCCACUUUUUGUGGUUCAUUGCUGUUUAUGAUUAGUGUGUUUAUCAUGCUAGAAGCUUCAUUUCCUUAUUUAAAUUUCUGGGUUUUGUUUAUUUAUUGGAAACAACUUAUAUAUAUUUGUGAUGGUGUAGGAUUGGUUAUAGCAUGAUCUUAGAUGCUGAGAAAAAGGAUCUUAUUACCCCUGGAAAGGUUAGUAGCUUGUGUUGUUAACUACUAAUAAAUCUCCAAUAUGGUUUCUUGUUUAUGUUAUGUUGAGUGUCAGAUACGCGUAUGUUUAAUUUCGAAUCAUGUUUAAAUGUGUCUGAUAAGGUACUUUAAAGGAAAUGAAGUGUAUUAGUGAUAGUAUUUGGCCUUAAUUGCUAUGGGAUUGUUGAUUAUGAUUUAAAUGUUACGAACAUUGUUUUUCCAAAACGGUUGUUUGAAGAGUGUCCUCAUCGAACCUACAAGCGGAAACACUGGGAUAGGGUUAGCGUUUGUGGCUGCCGCAAAGCAAUACAGGCUUAUCAUUACGAUGCCUGCUUCGAUGAGUCUCGAAAGAAGGAUCAUUCUCCGAGCAUUUGGAGCUGAGUUGGUUCUCACCGAUCCUGCCAAGGGCAUGAAAGGUGCUGUACAAAAAGCAGAGGAGAUAUUAGCCAAAACACCUAAUGCAUACAUGCUGCAGCAGUUUGAAAACCCUGCAAACCCGAAGGUGAUCUUGAAACUAUGUUUUGAUGGAUCCAAUUGUUGGUUGAAGAAGUCUGUUAACAUACACUGUUGUUGGUAUAGAUCCACUACGAGACUACUGGACCUGAGAUAUGGAAAGGCACGGGAGGUAAAAUCGAUGCACUUGUUUCAGGCAUAGGUACCGGUGGUACCAUAACAGGUGCAGGCAAAUAUCUUAAGGAGCAGAAUCCCAACAUAAAGGUAAGCUGGUAUAUACUAUAUGCAGUGUUAAUGCAGGUAAAUGAAUGACAAUCUGUUUAUAACAUCAACUUCCUCAUCAGUUUCGUUCUUUUAUAUGGUUUAGCUUUAUGGAGUUGAACCAGUUGAAAGUCCUGUUCUCUCGGGAGGAAAGCCUGGUAUGUUACGAAUCACCCAAUCAUUGCUUAUAAUUAAGUUGCAGUUGGCAUUUUUCUGCAAAAUGGAAGAUUGAAAUGGUGUACUUUUAUGAUUAUAGGCCUCGAGCCUGCUAUCGUUGGCCUUCUCUAUGAUAUUACUAUAGGCAAGAAAACAAGUUUAUUGUUUAGCUGACUGUUUGGUUUGUUUCAUGCUUAUAUAUCAAGGUCCACAUAAGAUCCAAGGAAUAGGUGCUGGUUUUGUCCCUGGUGUUUUGAAUGUCAGCAUCGUCAAUGAAGUUGUUCAAGUAAGGGUUCGGAACGAUAAUCAUGCUUCGAGAUUGAUCCCUCUUUGGGCCGUGGCUCGUUCUUAUUGUCGUUUUGAAUUUGCAGGUAUCAAGCGAUGAAGCUAUUGAAACUGCAAAGCUUCUGGCAUUAAAGGAAGGUUUACUCGUAAGUUCUUCCAUCCUUCAAAAAUUUAUAACCUUGGGAUCGAUCUUAUGCAUAUCUUUUCUCCGUCCGGUUGGCUUACAGGUCGGAAUAUCAUCGGGUGCCGCCACCGCAGCCGCGAUUAAAAUUGCAAAAAGACCCGAGAAUGCGGGAAAACUCAUCGUUGUAAGUUCAAUUUUGGGUCUAAUUCAACCUGGCAAACCAAUGUCUACCCUCUAUUAACAUCUAUAAAUUUCUCUGAUUCUGUUCUAUAACAUCAAUGCAGGCAAUAUUUCCAAGCUUUGGGGAAAGAUAUUUAUCAUCAGUGCUGUUUGAAUCAGUAAGAAAGGAAGCAGAAAACAUGACAUUUGAGCCAUGAGCUUUUAAUUUUCAACAAAGAAUCAGAACAAGUUUCCAUGACUGAUUAUUAUCAAAAAAUUUAAUUGGGAUUUUAGCUUUGCAUUGUAGCUAUGUAAUGAAGUAAAUUAGAGACCCAAUUGCAAAUAAAAUAGCAGAAAUAAGAAAUUACAUUAUAAAAGGGUUCAAUUGCAAUAAAAUAUGUAUCAGAUUCAGCUGAAGAAAUCUUGGACGCCUUUACCGGCGAAAACCCGAUCGGAAAGCUCAGCCAAAACGGCAUUAACAGUGAGUAAAACGACACUAGAGCCAGCAAUAACACCGAGAACAACGCUGGUGGUACCCAAAACUUUACCAAAUGCAGGCCACUCGAUUUCCCUUAUCUCCUCCGCCACUCCGCCGGCGAGACUGUUAUCACUAUUAUUCGCUUCUCUCUCCUUCAUCGCCUUCUUUAUCUCUGCUCCAAUGGCACUCAGCUCGCUUUCCUCGCUCGAUUCCAGUUCCGUCUCCACUUCCUUGGCGGUCAACGUGUCUUCCGUGCUCUCCUUGCUUUCUUCGAUGGCCUUGGCGGUGAAAGACCGAUGUUUGUUUGAAUUGCCGGUGAUUUUGAGAAGAGGCUUGGUUUUGGAAGGGAAUGAGAAGAAACGGUGACCGGAAGGUACUGGUUUCCGUGGCGAGUAGGUUGGAGGAGCGGCCGUUUUCGUCGACGAUGCGACGGGGAAUAGCAGAGGCGCGGCCAUUUUUCGCCGGGGUUUAAUGAUUGAAAGUAUGCUGAGUUUUUUUUUUUGGAUAAACUAAUUAAAUAUGGGAGAUUCGGUUCAUGGGGGGUCUAAGGGAUUGGGUGCAUGCACCGGUUGAUUUUCUUUUUUUUUUUUUUGAGCGCGUGGUUGCCCAAAUACUUGUGGAAGAAAAUAAAAAAGAAAAAAUCCCUUAAGAAAACACGACGACCGAUAAGAGUCUCAGUCUCGUGUGAACUUGCUCCCUCGAUACUGCCGUGGCGCCUUCUCUUGGCUAUGGCUAUUUUGAGGCCUUACGCUUUUCACUCUAUAUCUUAAAGGAAGAGAGAGUUUGAGAGAUUACAAGAUUUCAGAGCUUUUGCUAAGGUUUGCUCAGUUUUUUCUAUCUAUGAGAAUGAAAGGAGAGUCUGAGGUUCUUAUAUAGAGGCCACAAAAUCUUCAAAUUUCGUGUCUUCUGGUAUCUUUUCAUAUUCUGUAGUGUGUGUCUAUAUACUUCUUGGGCUUAUUGGAUCUGCCUUUUCUAUUAUGUUGGCCUUACAAGCCAUAUCGAGCCACCAUUGAUCCCAACCUUCGGAGGGCCUUUCGUCAAAUUGGCUAAGCCCAUUAAUUAUUGCCGAAAUGUCGAUUAUCUUAUCUUCUCUGGUUAUGGGUUGCCCUGCUACAGCUCCAGCAUAUGAAGUCAUUUCUUUUUUAUUUCUAGCUUCUCUUCGAGAUUCUUCGAGGUGUUUUAUCAGCUCGUUGUUCCGUUCUCGUUCAGCCUGGAGUUGUUUUUGUAGAUGAAGAUUCUGUCGCUUGAGUUGUAGGAUUUGAUCUCAAAGGGCUGUUGUUUCUGCAGUUGUAUUUAGGUUGAGGCGAUGCUCAAACAUAUUUGGACAAAAAAUACAAUGUUUCAACAAAAUUGAAGUCUAUAAUAAUCCUCAUACUGGAAUCGAGACUAGAGGUGCUCAUGGGCCGGGCGGCCCGGUCGGGCCCGAUAGCCCGCCCGAAAUAUGGGAGGAUUCGGAUAAAAAUAUAAGCCCGAAAUAUGGGUUUGGGCAAAAAAACGAGGUCCGUUUAGAAAAUGGGCUAGGCAUCGGGCAACACUUUUUAAAUCCGGGUCCGGCCCGGCCCAACCCGAAUAUAAUAAAUAAAUAUAUUUUUAUUUUAAAAUGUUUUUAAAAUGUUUUUUUUAUUUUUUAUUUUUAAAAUAAAUUUUUGGUGUUUAUUUAAAAAAUAGGUCAGGUCGGGCCCGAACCUAGGAUGUGGGCCAAAUUUUUUUUAGCCUGAUCCGGCCAUGAACACCUCUAAUCGAGACAUCUGUCGAGAAUUAUUUGAAAAUUUUAAAUCCCUAAAAAGUAUGUAUCAAAAUGUAACCCAACUUGUGGAAAUGACAUAUCUAACUUUUUUUUUAUCUAAAUAUUUAAUAUUUCAAAUCACAAUUCUUUUGUAAAUAAUAAAUUAUUACUAAAUCAUUUUUAAAUUAAUAAAACAUAAAAUUAUAAAAUUGGAUUUUUAAAAUUCAAAUUAAUCUAUUAAAAGAUAACACUUAAGAUUUUACUUUUUAAAAUUUUAAAUUUUUUUGCAGUUCCAUUACUCUUUUCUAAAAAUAUUGUUUUUUCCUACUAAAAAUAUUUUUUAUAAUAAUAAACAAUAAAUAUUUUUUUAUUAUAGAAACAGUAGUUAUGCUAUAAUUUGGUUCAAUGUAACUUUGUUGAAAUAAUAAUUAAUUUUUUAAAUAUAUUCAAUAUACAAUACAGUUUUACUUUAUGUAAUUAGUGCAAAGUAACAUUAUUCAAAAUAAUGACUAAUUAACAUAAUUAGCUCUAAUAUUAUUUAAGUAAUAAUUAAGAUACUUAGAAUUUUAUUCCAGUAAUAAUUCUAUUUUAUAUCAAUAAAAUUAGCACGAUUUUUGUUUUCAUCAAAAAUAUUUAAUUAAUAAUUGUAAAUUUUAAUUAUCACAAUUUUAUCCCUAUAUUUUAUGGUUAGAGUUUUAUUCAAGUAAUAACUCUAUUCUAAAUUUGACAUAACUUUUUAACUAAUAAUUAUAGUUUAAAUUAUAAUUAUUAAAUAUAUAAUUAUCACAACCUUUUAAACUAAUAAUAAUUCAAAAUUAAAUAUUAUAAUUAUUUUUAAAUAUGAAUUUUAUAAUACGAUAAAAGAAUAAAGGAUAUUUUCGUCAAUUUUUAACCCUCUCUAAAUUCGUAUUUAUAUAUAUUAUAGAUUAUAAAUAUUGACAUAUUACAUAAAUGUUUUAAUAAAUAUUUUUAGGUGAUAUGAAUACCCAUCGUGUAAUAAUAAGUAAACCUAAGAGUAGAAAAGUUAAACCUAGGACCUGUUUUUUUCAGGGAAAGAACUUGUGUGUUUUUACCAUAUUUGAAUACGCGUCGAUCUCAUGUGAAUGUUCUUUUAAAGUACCAUAAUCUCUGUACUUUGUUUUAAAAAGUGAUUUACUUAUAUUCGUUAAAUUAAAAAUAAAUUAAUUAUUUUGAUAAAAAUUUUAUCUAUUUUACUGUUAAGAAUUAAUUAAUGUGCAUUAAUAUGAUGUACACGUGUCACUGUUUAAUUAUUCUAUUAAUCAUUUAGUUUUUAAUAUUAUAAAUAAAUAAAUUUUUUAACAUAAAGAACUAGUACGAUCUUUAAACUAACAUGUAGGACUAAAUUAUCUAUUUUUUAAAUAAAAAAUAAAAUACAAUCUAACUUUUAAUACAAGAACCUUCAUUAUAUUUUUACCGAGUUUUUUUUUUUUGUUUAUUAAUAAUAUAUAAAUAAUGAAUUUACAUUUGUGUAUUUGCCUCCAAAUCCUCUCUUUAUCAACCUAAGGAAGGUACAAGUAAAAACCCACAUAAUGAUAAGGUGCCUGCCAAUUGACAAGUUUGUAGGCAUCCUAAUUUUAGCAGUAAAAGAUAAUUAUUUAGACUUUUGUGGACAUUUAUUAACAUAAUGAAAUAGUUUGUUGACAGAAGAACCUAUCUCCUUCUAAUCAUGCAUAUCUUCAAUAUUAUAUAUUUUCUCUUUCUUUGCAUAAACAUAUAUGUAAUCAAUGAAAGCAUGAGUUUUUCCAUGUUAAAAGUAUCAUUUAUGUUGCUUUUAUAAAAUAUAAAUUUUAUUUCAUUUAAUUUUAAUUUUUUAAGUAUAAUAUAUUUUACCAAUGCAUUCAACAGCAUUAAUUUUUUUUUCAAAUACUUCCUCAUCCUAUGCAUGUAGGUUAAAAUUAAAAAAAAUUAAAUUAAUUGAUAAUUAAAAGAAAAAUUAUAGAUGUGUGUAACUCCAAAGAAAUACCCUUAAUGAAGUAACCCCAAGGGUUUUUAGUUCUUAUAUGUAAAGAGAUGCAUUUAGUUUAUAUAUUUUAAUUUGGUCAAAUUUAGUGAAUGUAAUUUUUUUCAAUGAUCAAUUUUGGUCUUAAUAUUUUUCAAGAUUUGAAAUUCAAAUAUGAUCUAAAUAGUAUCAACUAAUUUUAUUUGAUUAAUUGUUGCUAUUAUACUUUGAUUUGACACCAAUGAAAAUAGUUAAAUCCGUUAAUUGUUUUGAGUAAUUUGUGAAUAUAGUAAGCUGACGUGACAUUACGCAUGCUAUUUGUUGCACCAGAUCCUGAAAAUAGCACAAUUUAAUAAACUUAACAACUACCAUUUGAUCAAGAGUCAAUAUUGCAAUUUUAAAUAUUAAAAAAUGCAAUGACUAAAAUAAUUGAAUUAAAAUACAAAGAUUAAAUCCACAGCUUAUUCAUAGUAUAGGGACUAAUAGUAGAAUUUAACCAAAUUAUAUUUUCUUUUUGCAAUUAAGUAUCCAUUUAUUCAAAUAACAUUUUUUACAAAUAUGUAAUUUACCCGUAUAAACUUUUGAUGCAUUAUUUAUUUCUAAUUUUAUAAAAUUAUUUUAUUUUUUGUUUAAUUAAAUCAAUGUCUAGUUAAUUUAUAACACCAACACAAUAAAAUAAUUUAAUAAUAGAAUAUAAAACAUUAUGAUUAAUUCUUAAAUAAUAUAAAAGAUAAAAACAAUAAAAACAAAUACACAUCAUUCAUUUUGCAAUACUUGUGAAAGACUAUUGAUACAAUAAUAAUUCACUCUCCUUUCUUUAAUUUUGGAAUUUAGUCCUUCAAAUUUUUUCAUAUUUCAAAAUUCAAAUCUAAUUGUUAAUACCAUCAAAUUACUUUUAUUAAAUUUGUUUAGUUGACAUUUCAAAAUUGAAAAUGAAUAAAACCAAAUAUAUAUAUGAGAAAUGAUUAUAUGAAACUGUGAUUGUACGUCAUCCAUAUCCCAUACUAAUAGAAAAAUGACAAAUCAGAUUUUUCCUCCUAAUUUUCAAUUUUUUUUCCUCCUCGAAAAAUGGAAAUCAAGAGGAAAAAAUUUAAUUUGUCAUUGUCCAAUUGAAAAGGAUUAGAAAUGACGUGGAAUCAUAGUUCUAUUUUAAUUAUUUAGAAAUUUCAUUGAUUGUCCAAUGAGAAAGCAAAGGCUGUAUGGUCAAUGAGCAGUGAAUCAUAUCACUUGGGAAGGUCUAGGAAGAUAGAUAUAUUGCCAAAUCCAAACUUCAUUAUCUAUAUAAAAUAUACGAUAUGAAAUGUCGAUAUCAUGCAUUAGGGUGAAGACAAUAGCAAAUGGAUUUAAAAUUUUGGCGUGCAAUGGAAAUGUGCAGUGUCCAAUGUCAUAUGCAAUUACAAGAAGCCAAUGGCCUAUUCAAAUACAAUUCCAUGAAAAAGGAAAUGUCACUCCAAACCCAACAAAACCGUGAAAAUGAAAAUUACCCAAUUCCCGAGGAACUAAAUUCCAAAAAUCACCAUUGAUAUACUAACUUAGUUAACUCUCCAUAUGCAUACAAUUUUGACAGAAUCCUCUGCUCUGCUCUGCACUGCACAUUUUUCCUUCUUUUCUUUUCCUUUUUUUUUUUUUAUGUUUUCAAAGAAAUUAAAAACUUCGACCUUGCUAAUUAAUUAUUCAUGUCAUAUAAAUUUGUUAUAUUUUUAUAUAUUUAAUUUAAUUUAAAAAAAAAUUAAUGUAUCAUUCAUGUCUGUUUUAUAAUUUAUGAAAAUAAUUUUUCGAAAUUUAUAAUCGCUCCUUUCAACUACGUUAAAGAUUCUAUCGUUGUUAUAAAUUAUACUAUCAUCAAACCUAUAUGUAAUAGAUUCUACCAUUAAUUUUUCUUUCGGGACCUUUGAUGUUUGACAAUCACAAUAAAAAAGGUGUGAAUGUAAACCUAACAAAUAUAAUCUGAAUUUUAAUCAUACUUUUCCCAUAAUUCUGUUCAUCAUUAGUGAUUUUAAACCUAAAAAACUUUGGGAGUACAUUAUGUGGAAGUGGGGUUUGGUUGAGCCGUUUAAAAGAUCUGUAGGACGAAGAAAUCAGUUUAGAGAGCUGAUCUCUUCCGACCUGACUCUAGUGUUUCAGUUCUCUCUGGCAUCAUUAUUUAUUAUUAUUUCUGCAAUUAUUUGAUUUCAGUCAUGUCUUAUCAUGUUUGUUUUUUGGUUUCUACUCUCACGUUUCCAAUUUUGGCAUAUUACUUCCUCUCACACUCAAUUUUAUUUAUUAAUCGAAUUUCAGCUCACUUAAAAAAAUUUAUUUUAUAUUUAAAAUAAAUUAUAUUAGCCUAUUAACUUUUAACUCGAUUAGAAUCGACAUUAUUAUUAAUGUAGGAGGAUACGAAUUUGAUUGUGCUGAAGUGCAUUAUCCUCCUAUUCAAGGGUUGAGGAAGGGUUAUGAGUAGUUCUAGGCAUUGUAUCAAAUAAAAACCUACAAUGAAAUUAAUGUUAAAUUUUUAUUAUUAUUUGAAGGCACUUUAGUCUUUUUAUUUUAACAAAAACCAAUAAAAAUGAAAUUUUGAAUUCACAUCAAUUAGAUUAAUAAAACAUUAAUUUACCACUUAAUAAUGUUGUUAACUUAUUAUAUCCAUUAGUUGUAUCUAUCUAUCUAUAUUAAUAACGUUGUUAAUUUAGUUAGAGGUACAAUUCAACUCGAUACCAACUCAUGAUUGAUGACAAAACCAUGACAACCAAUUGAAGUGUAUUUAGUAUCGUUAAUAUGUUAUAUUUAUGCGUUUAAAAUUCGUUUUACUCACAAUUUAAUUUAUUUUUUUAUUUUAAAAUCAUACAUAUUUCAUGUGUUAUUAUGAUUAAUUAAUUUCAUACCAUAUGUUUCAUUAUUUGUUAUAUAUUAUUUUUAAAUAUAUAUUUAUAUUUUAGAUACGUGGUUUGACAAAAUUUUUAAUAUAUGUUAACUACCUGCUCUUUCAUUUAGUAUUUACCAUUCAAAUAGUUCAAAGAAAUAAAAUUGAGUUGAGGUAGUAUCAUUUAAGAAAAAAAGAGUAUUUAUUAUUAGGGUUUUCAGAUAGAUUAAUUUCAAAUCGAAUCUAAUUUGAAAAUACCCUAAUUAAAACAAUUAAAUUGAUUCAAUUUUUAAUUCUCUUAAACAAUCUAUUCAAUGAAUUGUAAAAGUUGAAGUAACUCUCAAGACCAAAAAAUUUGUCAUUAAUCUAGUGGUAAAAUCAAGUAAUGGGAAUUUUUUAAAUUAUCAAAAUUGAAUUUUUAUUAAUGUAUUAUUUUAUAUCUGCAUACUUUUUAAAGGAUUUAUAUUGAAAUUUCACCAAUUUUUGGGGAGUCAAGACUUGUUUGCCCCUCUAACAUCGUCUUUCAAUGUUUUUAAAACCGGAUUAAUAAUCAAAUCGAUUUGAUCAAUUUAAUAAAAAAAAUCAUAAAAUUAAGAAUUCAGUUCAACUAGUUUGCAUUAAUGGAUUCACUACUCUUCUCUAAAUCAAUAUCUUAAUCGAUUCUCGAUCCAAUCCGGUUCAUACAACUUUGCGGUCCCUGAUUGAAACAACAUGCAAACAUAGUAAGCCAAAAACAAUAUUAAAAUUGUUUUAUUGAAGCCUAUACCUUAAAAGCCAAAAACAAGACCUUUGCUUCAUUAAUCGGGAUUUACUCGCUAUUAUUAUACCUAAAUAUAACCCUAAACCCUACAUUUGGCCUCGUAUUAUUAAUCUAAUCUUGGGUAACCCAUGUUCCUCACUUAAAAUAAGUUGCUGUUGUGUUUCCAAAUAAAGAUGGCUGUCUAUUUGUCUUAAUACAAAACAAAGUUGCACGAUGUUGACAUUGGGUUUUGGGGAUUAUUUUUUUCAUCCCACCAAAUGUGACUUAAAAAAUAAAAAAGGGGGACUUAAAUUAUUUUAUUAGUGGAAACACUUAAGGACAAAUGGUCUGGUUUUAACCUUACCUAAACCAACUAACUUUAGGGAUUUUGUUAGUUAAUUAAAAAGGUGAAAAUUUAUAUUGUUAAUUCAUUCUUUUAUUUCUCUUUACUUGAAGUUGUUAGCAUAUCUCUUUGGAUCCUAUUAGUUUGUCUCCCUUUUCAGUCUUCUAAGCACUUAUAAAAUAUGUAAAGAGCAAACCAGACUCUCAAUUUUCUCAAUAUUCUCCAUCUUUCUUCCUCCAUGCAAUUUUUAGGGCUAUUUUCAAUUAAUAUUAUUAAAAUUAUUGUAUUAUCCCUUUAGCGGCUACCUAGUCUACAAUUUGCAUUGGAUAUGUAUAAUUUAAACCAACUUGUUUUAAAAGAUAAAAAAUAAUUUUAAAGAAUAAUUUAUAAUAUAUAUUCAUAUAUAUAAACCACAAGUUUGGAAGAGAAUGUCAUUUAUUUUGUUAUCAUGUUAUUAAAUUUAUAUUUUAAAAUAAUUAUAAUAUUUAAUUUAGAAUUAUUAGUUUAAAAAAUUGAAGUAAAUUGUAUAAUUGUAUAUUUUUUUUACUAAUUUUAAAAUAAAAUUAUUACUUAAAUACAACUAUAAAUAUAAAAUUUUUACAGGAAAAUUUUUUUGGCAAUUGUAAUUAGUUAAAAUAUUUUGACUAAAAAUAAAUUUGUGAUGAUUUUAUUGAUGUAAAAUAAAGUUAUUACCUAAUCAUAUUAAUUAUCAUUUAAUUAAUUAAUAUUAGAGUUAAUAAUGUUAAUUAGUUAUUAUUUUGAAUAAUAUUACUUUACAUUAAUUACAUAAAGUAAAUAUAUAUUAUAUGUUGAAUGAUUUAAAAUUUUUUAUUACAAUAUUUGAAUUAUAUUAAUAAUUUAAAUAAAAUACAAUUUUACAUUAAUUGUUGUAAUUAAAAAUAUAAUAUUUGAACAAUUAAUUAAAUAUUAAACGUGUAAAUGUGGGAUUAGAAGCUAAUAUGGAAAAAGUGGUAGAUGGUUGAUAUAUAAGACGCUACUUCUUAAAAGGGUAAAAGUAUUAUGGAAGCUUGAAUUGCAUUUUGCCACCUCUACUAAAAAAUAUACAAAUUAGUCUUUACACGUUAACAAUUUCAUUAAUUUCUAUUGUUAAAAUCUAAUCCAUUUACGUCAUCAUGAGGUAAAUGUGGCACGCCACGUUAAACUAUCCAGUUAUUCCGUCAGUUUUUAACAAUAGAAAUUGAUUAAAUUUUAACAAAAAGACUAAUUUACUAUCUGAUUUAACGUACAAUGACUAUUUUACUCAUUUUUUAAGUUAAAAAAAUAAAUAAAAUGCAAUAUAACUUCUAAAAUAAAUGGCUCCAUAUUACUUUUACAUCUUACAAGUGAUUGUACCAAUCUAUUAUAGUUAAAUUAUAGCAUCGUUAAAACCACCCUUUAUUGUUCAAUUUAUGAUUGUUAUCCUUAACAUACUCAAUUUCGAAAAAAUAUUAUGUGAAAUAGUUAUGACACGUCAACAUAUAUAUAAUUCAUGAAAUAAAUUGAAUGAAAGUGAUAAAUAAUUACAUGGCAUAAAACCACGAGGUCCAAGUAUUUUUUUAAUUAAAAAUAAUUAUUUUAAUAACCAUAAAUUUAAUGACAUGUAAGAGAAUUUUAGUUUUGAUUUUUUAAAAUUCAUAUUAGUUGAGCAAUGAAUUUUUUUAUACAUAAAUUCAAUAAUAGGAUGAUGGAAAUCACAAUUUGGGCACCUACUUCUUCUACUAUAUGUGAUUGCAAUUAACAUGGCUAACCCUUUGAACAAGAAUAUCAUUUUCAUUUAUAAAUUUUGUUUUUAACUUUAUUUUUUAUUUACUCAACAUAUUAUUUCUGCACCCCAAAGAUUGUCAUUGAAUAAUACAAACAUGCUUAGAAUUGGGACUUUCAAUUAUUACAAUGGCAUCAACUACAUGGACCCGACAUGUAGCAGCUAACUUGUCCUAAAUACUAACACAAUAAAAACAGCCAACCUCGUGAUUUUGUACGCAAAAUUUUCUCAUCAAUGGACCACAAAAACAACAAUUAUAAACCAACUGUCUCACCAGUUUCACAACACUUAAAAAGGAAAAAAAAUGGUUAAAAUGUGCACUUUUCAAAAAUUAAGAAUUUAAUUUUUUAAUUUCAAAAUUGAAGUCUAACCAUUAAUACUAUUAAAUUUUUUAGUUAAAUUUGUUACUCUGACAUUUUUAAAAUAAAAAAUAUUUAUUUGGUAAUAAUAUAAUAAAAAAAUAAGUUCUAAUUAACUUAAAUUUAACAAAAAAUAUAACAGUGAUAAUAGUUCAAUCUUAAUUUUAAAAUUAAAAUUAAAAUCCGAAAAAGUAAAAGUACUAAAUUUCAUAAAAUUAAAGUAUAGAGACUGGAUUCUUAAUUUUCAAGAAGUACACAGACUUUUAACCAAAAAAAAAUUACACCAAGUGCAAAACAUUUAUAUAUAUAUAUAUAACAUAGCCAAAUGACAGUGGCUCGAGACAUCAACAUCCCAUGCAACAAAAGUCCAAAAAAGAACAAAAACAACCGCCAAUAUCUUUCAUUUUCUUUUUCUAAAUUAUUAACUAUUUUUACUAGGAAUUAAUGAAAAGGAUAAAAAAAAAGAGAAUCACCGGCGGUGGUUUUCGGGUGUAUCGGAUUCCGGCGACGAUGAGAGUAGACAGACAAUGAUAUCAGCAAAAGCACUAACGAUGAACUUGUGGGUGUUUUUGGGGUUUAAAGUAAGGUAACAGAUGAGUAGUUCAUGCAGGAAGUCCCAGUCUUUGUUCACAUCGGUUAAGUUCCUCGCUUCGAUCAUUUCUUGCAUUGAAAACCUGAAAUCUCUGUAUGGGUCCGGCGAGUAUUUCUUGACAGCAACGCCACCGUCCAUCGGCGGUGGUUGAGGCGGUGUUUCGGUCGUCGUCUCGGUGUUAGGUUCAGCUUCGGGCCUUGUAUCGGGUGACUCGAUGAUGGAGUUAGAACGACCUGGAGAAGAGAAGAAGAAACGGUGGGAAGCGUAUACGGUGGCGAAAUCAGGUGUGGCGUCGGCGUCGGAGUCGGAAUCGGUGGUGCGAACGGAAGGUGUUAAAAGGGAAGUGGAAGCUGAUGAUGUUGAAAGGUCGUAAAGGGAGUUAAAGUUCUUGGGAAACGAUGAAGGAUCUUGUUUUAUUGAUGAUGAUGGGAGUAAGAUUGAAGAUUCGUCCAUUGAUUUAAGAUUUGUGAAGCAGAGAUGAAACAUUUUCAAGAACAUAUUCGACAUUUUUCUUUUUGUUGUUGUAAGAAGAAGGGAGAGUAGGAGAGAUUUUGAAGAUGAUUGAAAAAGGGCUCUGAAAGUGGUGGCGAUGUGGGGGUUUUAUCGGCUGAAAAAAAACACAAGCCUGAGCUGCUUAAGAAAAAUAGAUUAGAAAAGUAGUGUUUGGUCUGACUCAUUUGAUAUCCGUAUGGGUUAUUAAACUCGAUUUUCAAUUUUUUAGAUUAAAACUUAAAAAUUUACUAUAUUUGUAUUACUAUUUAUUAUUUUGCGGUUAGGGGUGAAUUUAUUUAUUUUUAAACAAUUAUAGUAACGGAAUUAUAAUUUUUUAAAAUUUUAAAAAUAUUUUUAUCAUAUAUUAAUUUAUAAUUUUAUAAUUUUAAAAAAAUUAAAUAUAUGUUUUUUUUUAGGGUCAAAUUUACAAUUUUUCAUUUUUUAGGCUAGCACCUACAUGCUCCCGUUUGCAUUUUCUGCAACUAUUUGCCUCUUGAGAAUGCGCAUCUUACCACAGCAUGCACACAUAUUAACAAUUAAAUUUAUUUUUAUUAUAUAUUAUAACGAAAAAAUAUAUUAAAAUUAAUGAAAAUAAAUUUAUUUUUAAAAACUGCUGACUUAGUUCGGUUAAUAUCGAUAUUGUUAUUAAUAUAAAAAGAUGUAAGUUCAAGUGUGUCAAAAAAGAAAAAAAAAAUUGAGUGUCAAUAGCAACAUUUUCUUUUUGUUUGGAUCUAAAAGCAUUUUUUAAAGUUUUUAGAUGGAAUAGGGUUAAUUUAAUAUUUUUAUUACGAUUGGAAAAUAUUGUGAAAAAAAGUUUAGUUUCUAAAUUAUAAGUAUUUAGCAGUGUUGUUAAAAGUGCUAUAAUAAAUUAAAUAUACAUUUUAGGCAUACGUUGAAAAGUAAAAAAUAAAUUAACUUAAAUGAUAUUCAAAUUCAUUAAUAUUACGAUAUGUAAAAUAUAACUUUUAAAUAAUCAAAUAUAUACUAUAUUUUAAAAAAGUUUUAGAUGAAAAAUGGUUAAUUUAGUGUUACUGGUAAGGUUGAAAAAUGUUUUUGAAAAAAAAUACUUUAAAAAAUUGUUGUAAAAACUGUAGUUUCAAAAUUCUAGCCACUCUAGUUUCUAGUUCCUAAUAUUAUAGUAUAUGAACUAUAUAAAAUUUUUAAAUAUAUUUAGGUAAGUAAUAUAAAUUUAUUGUAAAAUUUAAUUUGAAUAUAUAAAAUAUUAAAUAUUUGAAAUAAAAUUAAAAAAAUAAACAAUUAUAAACUUAAAUAGAAAUAUUAAAUAUAUAUUUAGUGUUUGCAAUUUAAAGUAAAUUAAGUACAGUACAAAGUUUUAUAAAUAAAAGCCAAAAACAAUUUAUGUAUGCUUGGUUGAGUAUUAAAUGAAAUUGGGGGAGAGAGAGUGAAAAAAUAAAAGAAGAAAAAUGAUAAAUUUUCAUUUCGGUAUAUAUAAAAAUAAAAAGAGAUAUAUAUUAAAAAAAAACAAAACAUUUUUUUCGCUGUAUCAAACAAAUUCUUUUAUUAUGUACACAUAAAUUUUAGUAAAUUAACAUCAGCUUUUAAGUAAGUUAUAAUUUUUUUUAAUUUCAUUAAAUUGAUCAUUAAGAUGUAGACCAUUUUCUUUGUCAUAAUUAGUUGAGUUCAGCAUCAGAGUUUUUCAAUUAAGCGGUUGUGAUGCUUUAUUAUCAUCUUAAACAAAAUUGAUACAUUAAAAUUGAAAGUAAAUUUAAAAAUUAAAGGGUCCUAAUAAUUUGAAAAAUAUUAAAUAAUAAAAUAUUUUAAAUGUUACAAAAUAUUUUACAUAUUCUUUCUAUUAAAAAGGGUAAAUAUACAGUUUAAUAUUUAAACUAGACUUCAAAAUUCAAGUUGAUACUUAAGGUUUUUUUUAUUUAUUUAAUUAGGUAUUUAAACUUGAUUUUAAGAUUUAAUUUUGUAUAAAGUUUAUUCAAGUCCAAUUAAGUACUUAAACUCAGUUUCCUUGUUCAAAUCAAUACUUAAACUUCGAUAAGUCUUAUUUAAACCGGUUUGAACUAUGAAAUCAUGUUCGAGUACAAUGUGUAAUUAUCGAAUUAAAAAAUAAAAAUAAAUACUUUUAUUUGGAUUAACUCAUCUUCAAAAUAUGACCUUCGGACAUAGAAUUAUGGAAGUACAUUUUUAAAGGGUAGAAAAGUAAUUUCCUCUUCCUUAUCUCUUCUAGGUUCUUCUUCUCUGUAACAGAUAGGCGACUUAGCACUAGCUGUUGUUGUUGUAGUUGUGGGUUUUACAUUUUGCCCUUUGUAACAAAAUCCAAUUUUUCUUUUAAGACAUAUAUUAUCUCUCAGAAGACUCAAAGUCAUUGAUCUGGUAUUUUUCUACUACAUUUGUCAGCUUGUUAGAUCUAACUACUGAAAGCUCUCUCCUUUGUUGUCUUCAAACAGUUCUUUACCAUUUCUACUGUUUAAAGAUUUAAUUUUGACUUGUGGGUUAGAGUUCAAAAGAUCAAAAUUUUAAUCUUUGGGGGUGUUAUUUUUUUUCUUCAGGUUAAAAGUGGGAUUAUUUUUGGGUUCUAAUGAUGUCAAUUCCUUCACCUUCUCAUAUGGGUACUCCCCCUCAUUCUGAGAACCCUCAUAUGGAUACUACUCCCCCUCUUGAUAACCCCCAUGACAUGGGUAGUUCACACAUAGAUAUUCAACAAGAUCUCAACUCUCAUAUGGAUACUCCCCCUCAUACUGAAAACCCUAAUGAUAUGGGCAGUCCACAUAUAGAUAUUCAUCAAGAUCUGUUUCCAGAGUAAGUUUUUUUUUGGUUCUCAAUUUCUUACUUAUCUGCUGUUGGAUGAGUUUAAUUCAUGUUUUUAUAUAGAAAUUUAGGUUUGUUUCUUAAAUAUUUCAUGUUCAAAAUAGUUUGAAUUUAAUGAAUUGAAGGUUAGUUUACCAUAAAAUUGAAGAAUUUUCUUUGCUUUAAGAAAGCAUGGAAAUCCUUAUAGUUUAGUAUGGUUUACUAGAUCUCAAUGAUGCAUGGUCUUUUUUGGGGGGCAUUUUGUGAUCUAACCCUAUUUUAAAAAUGUAAAAACCACCUGUAAUUGGAAACUAUUUACAGUAAGUAGCUACUGGGGAAUCUUAUAUCUUUGAACCCUGUGAUAAACCGUCAUUCUCGUUCCAAAAUCGCCUCGUUGUUCCUGUGUAUUCAUCAGUUAGUGAGCAUAGCAGCGUAAUGGCACAUUAGUAGCUUCAACGUAUCUCGAUAUUAAGUUUAAAGGUGUAGAUUAUGUUUUCUUGACUGCUGUUUUAUCCCCAUUGCAGUUACUAUGGUGGAACAGCUCCGGCUUCGGCUCCGGCUCCGGCUCCUGCCCUGGAUUCUGCUCCAUCUGAGCCAAAACAUGAAUUUGAGGGAAAUGAUAACCAUAAUGGAAAUAAUGAUAGUGCUCCUGUAAUUAAAGAUAAUAAUUCCCCUCCACCAGUUCCACCUGGUAGUAGUGGGGAAGGAUUACCUUAUGCUCCUAUACAUUGGCCAAAUGCUGGUGAUAUUUGGACCUGGAAAGUGGGGAGGAGAGUCAACAGUGCUGGCUUCUAUGGCGAUAGAUUUCUCCAUGUUCCAGAAAGUCUUCGAAAGCCAAAUAGUCCAAAAGUCUUUGCGAGCAAGCCAGCACUUGAACGUUUUAUCCGGUUGAAUUUCCCGGAUGCAGAUGUUAAUGCGUUCUUUGCUUCAUUUGUUUGGAAGAUCCCUGCCAUUGUGGAAUCUCCUACUAAAGGUUUGCUAAAAAACAUAUAGGUUUUACGUUUGUGGUGCCCUUUAUCAUCUUGUGAGGAAAUUCGAUAUCUAACUUUUUUUCACAGGAUGUAAGUUGCAAUGCAUAUUGAUUAUAUAAGAUUUAGUGUCAAAUUAGAGGUUCUCUUUAGGUUAGCUUAGCCCAGGUUGAUUUGGUUUAACCAUUAAGAUUUGUUCAAGGUGAAUUGGUGUGGAGUCAAAUCUUUAAAUUUCAUGUUGGUAGGUUAAGAGUUUUGAAAUGCAUUAGUAAUGGAAGAAACAAAGAGCAAUUACGGGGGAUGCUUUUGUGGACCGAACCUAUGUUAGGAAAGGCCAUUAAUUUCGAUUCUCUAAUGAAGGCUUAGGUUCUUUCUCUUGUGAUUCUAUUUCAGUUGAUUUUGUUCUUAGGUUCGUUGAUUGCGAUUUUUUUCAAUGAAUUUCCUUCCUUUCUAGAGUUAGGUUUUCUAUUUAUCUAACAAGUCUGGUCCGGAUGUACCGAAUAAUAAAACCUAAGCAAAAUUUCUUUAAAACCCUAAAUUGAUCUAGGUCUCCCUCUAAUGAGUCCUAAGGUUUAGUGUCUUUUUUGUAUUUGAACUGUCAAACCACAAUAGAUCAUUACAAAAAUCGAGCUAAGGGCACGUGUUUUUAACAUAUUUCCUCUUUACCCUGUCUAGGUACCUUAUACAAGCUAGUAUCGGUCUAGGCUUUCUGCUUAAAAUUCUACGAAAAUUCUUUGGAGUUCCUUUACUUGUUCAAUAAGCUUCUUUAGAUUUGCCAUGUUUGUAUCAUAUAGCAAAGUUUAUAUAAAAAAAUUUAACACAUAAACAAGAAUUUUCUUUUGAAGAAAACGGCCCCAUGACUCGACCUCACCUGAUCAUAAUGGCCUUUUGCGCUGCGCCUUAGUGCCUAGGCGCUCGACUUGACAUCACUGUUAAAUAUAUGCAUGUUGGAAACAUUUUUAUCCGACACUCUUGCCAAAUUUUACUCAUCCUCAUCAAAUAUGUUUGUCAAAGGUCGUUGAUUGCAGGCCUUAAAGACCUAUAAACUAAGAAUUAAUCUGUUUCUUAUUGCUACUGCUGAUGACCUUAUAGGCUUCUUUUUUCUCGUAUUAUGUCUGCUUUGAUGAACUGUAUGUUAUGAUGAACAUUCAUGGUAACGACCGUCGCCUUGGAAGUUGCAAAUGAGGAGGUACUGCCAUAAUGGCAUAAUAGCUCUAGAACAGUCGUACCUGAAUUAAGGUCGGUGUUUAGCUAUGUGUCGGUUAGGUUGUGAAUGUAUGUGCCUGUGGACAUCCUUUAAGUAGCCAGUAGGCAUUCCAAGUGUUGAGUUUGAGAUGAAGUGUCAUUAUCCAAAUUGAUCCAUUUCCAUUCAUUUUUGUUUCAUCUAGGGAUAGGGAAUUGUUGACGUAGUAGUCCAUGUUAUACUCAUGCAAAAUUCUUUGUUCUUCUUUUCUGGCCUAUUUAUCACUCCUCCUGAAGUUCGAAGUUGCAGGAUGUUCAUUUUCUUUUCAUUGCUUAGCUAAAAUACUUUUACCUUUUAUGUGAUGAAUGCCACCUCUCAUCCUUUCAGUGGCAGCAGCGCCUGCAGCACCAGCAGAAGGAACAGAAGAUGAUAAACAAGAAAGUGACACAAAAGGUCUCCGUAGAACCCAAAGGAAGAGGGCUCCCCCUCCUCCCCCAUUCAGUACUCCGAGUUCCAUCGAAGGUAAAAAAAUCCGGUGUUCGUGUAUGUUGCUUUGUUCUUUGGUUACUUAUGGUUUCUUCUGUGCCUAUUAAUCAAAUCUCUCUUCCUGGAAGCUGAAGGUGACGCAAUGUUCAUUUUCUCUUAAUUGCUUAGCUGAAAUACCUUUUUUCUUUAAUGUGAUGAAUGCCAACUCUCAUCCUUUCAUCGCCAGCAGCGCCAGAAGAAGGAACGGAAGAUGUUAAACAAGAAAGUAACUCAAAAACUCCCCGUAGAACCCAAAGGAAGAGGGCUCCCCCGGCUCCCCCAGUGAGUACUCCGAAUUCCAGUAAUGGUAAAAAAAUGCAGAAGAAUAGUAAAGGAUCAACCAAAACUAAGCGACCAACUCGCCAGCGCGGUAAAGAGUCUGCCCCACCCCCAGCUGAAACUGAAGAUAUGAAUAGCGGUCUUGAUUUGUCUUUCUUAGACAAUGAAACGGGAAGAGGUUAGAAUUGGGAAUGCUUACAAUUUUCCUGAAAACAGUUUCUUGUUUCUUCCUUUCAUUCACCUUUUGAAAUGGUUGCAGCGGAAUUCGACAACUACCUCAGUUCUUUGGAUGAAAUCCUUGCUCAGCCUUUCUCUGAAGAACCAUUUUCGCAUCCAGCAGAGAUGCAAAACUCGUUUGCAGGAGACAGCGAAAUGGCUGAAGCUCGAAGGAAACUAUCUUCCCUUCUCGAUAUGGAUUUCCCUUCAUUGAUUUGCUUCAAAGACCUCGAAGAACUCGCGGGUCUAGCAUCCAAACUCCGAAAAGACCCCACUCUUACCGCCGAACAACUCGUGAAGCUGAAGUUAAUAGAAGAGAUCCCAUCAUUUUGCGAGGUGUUCCUCGAAAACAGGGAAGUAAUGGAACAGGCAGAUAAGUUCUUUAGAGGCCUUGACGACAACAGGGCCAAGGUCUCUUCCCUGAAACAAGAAUACAGCGAGUUAAAACAACAGGUAACAAACCUAGAGUCCGAGGUAGAUUCCAACACAAUGACCGUGCAAGAUAUCGACAACCAGAUAGCACAACUCAAAGCACAUCGAGCCGAGCUCACGAAACUGAUAGACAAAAAGAAAAGAGACAAGGAUGAAUUGACAUAUAACCAAAAGUUGGUGGCAAACUCGAUACCGAAAGUGGUGCAUGAGGUACAGCUUGCUAAUGCUAAAAAACCAGAAUGGGAGCUAAAGAAGGAAAAUGCAUUAAAGCGUGAAGGUGAAAUACUAGCUAAAUUUGCUCCUUUAAAAGGGUUUUCCCUUUGAAAGAAAUUAUGUGUUAUCAUAUCAUUGUCUGUUGGUAAUAUCUUGAACACCAUAGGUAUGGGACUAGUUUUAUAUUUAUUUAGUGAUAAUAAAAAAACAGUGGUAGCUUUGCUGAGACUGCAAUUUGGUAGUGUAUUGCUUUUGAGGAUUGUUGUAACUUGUUAACUUUGGCUAGUGCCCCCUUUCUACUUUUCAACGCUCAAAACUCAGUAAUUACUGUUUCUAGUUUUAACUUUUUGUAAUAAUGUUAAUGACAAAUUAUUUGGUCCAAUAAAAUUUGAUAUUUUAAUCUCAACGGCUGAGUAAUAAAAUUCAAAUUUGAUUUAAUUUGUGAUGUUGGGACCAAUUGAAUCGCGUAAAUUUGAUCAAAGUUAUAAAAAUAAGGUUUAAAUAUUCAUUUAAUUCUUAAAUUCAUCAUUUUUUCUUAAGUUGGUACUCGUGACAUGAUAAUAUAGACAUAGUUUUUUAAAAAAAAUUAAAUGUUUUAAAAUAUAUAUAUCAAUUUUUAAAACCAUAAAAAAUUAUAAAUAAAAAAUACUAAAAGUUUUUAAAGUUCCAAAAAUUAAAUUAAAUUGGGUUGAAUUUUUAAAUUUUUUGUUCACGACCUCCUCCAUCUUGACCAACACCAUGGAAGAAAUUCUCUUAGCCCUUGUAAGCAAGGACCUUGAAAGGCUAAUGCUUCAUAUCGCUUUGGAGUGGUUAUAAAUAUAAUAGUAAUAGAAGGAUCAAAAUUGAAAUUUGUAAGAAGGCUCAUGACUUUUUAUGCAUUUUUGGUCAAGCCAUUAUAUACAAUAGUCCUAGUAGUAUACGCUAGAAUUUAUGAUUCAGGCCAAAUACAACUUUCUUUCAUUCUCUUCAAAUAAUUUGUUCUAUUAUUAUUAUUUAAAUUUUGUCUUUAUAAAAUUAUUUUCUGAGCUUAUGUUGAAUUUUAUAACAAUAUAGAUAAGAACAAAAAUAUUAUGAUUGUAUAUUCAUAUCAUUUUCAAGUCAAUAUUCUAUUUAAAACAAUACAUAUAUAUCAGUUUUUUUUUUAUUCAAAUGACUUUUCUGUUUUCAUUUUAAAUCAGUUCCCAACUUUAAAAUAUUUUAAUUACUCUCUAAACUAUCAAUAUUAUAUUACUCCGGUCCUUUCGUAUAACAUAAUUUUAAAUAAUAAUUUUAAAGAAACAUAAAAUGUUACCUCAUAACUCAAAGAAAAAUGUAAAACCGAGAAGAAAAAAUAGUGAAUACUUAUUUCUCUAAAACUUCAAAAACCUUAUCCAUUUUUUUCACAUAAGAUCCAACAAAUCAUUUAACACUUAAAAAUUUUGAUAUAACAUCGAUGGUUUAAAAGUUAAAUUAACAAUUUUAUAACAGAAAAACCUUACUAAUAGUUCGAACUUUGAAGAUGUUUAGUGCAAUUAACUCUAUUAAAAAAAAAAUCUUACCAGAAUUUCUUAAACCUGGUAAAUAAAAAACCAGAUAGAAGGGUAAAAAUGAGUUAAAAAAGAAACAUAGGGUAUCUUUGACAAAUUAUAUUGGUACAAGGAAUUAGCAUAACGGAGGCAGGAAUGGAGCCUAGCCUGGAUUCACCCAAUAAUAUUAUUGAUGCUUCUAAAUAUACAGCAUUUGUGAUUAUAAAGGAAUCUUACCUUUGGCCAUAAAAGCAGCAACCCUACCAAUCAAAAAUCAUAGCAAAUACAAGUGUUUCAAUCUCAAGGAAAAGCAUUUAAAAUUUAAAAGCUAUAUAGUUUGCGUCUUACACAUAUUUCAGGUAAAGCUAAGACUAAAAAUGGAGUAACGGUUAAAGUUCCUAUCUGCCAUCUUGAUCAUAAGUUCAAACCUCAUAAUCUCCUAGAGAUAAGUGACCUUUGCCCCCUCAAAAAUGGUAAGUAUGCUUUUUAGUCCCUUAGAAGUUUAUAAAAUUACAAGGUAAUAUAAUAGUAAAAUUGCACUUUGAUCCCCAAAAUUUUAUGAUUCAUCUGACUCCCAGCAAAUUUUUUUAGCUUGACCCAUCUUCCCGCAAGGUAAGUCUAUUACCCUGGUCAUGGUCUUGGUCUUCCCCUACCUCACCUCCAGGGCUUAGGGACCUAAAAGUUGGGUGACUCAAGAGUAACCCAACAAGCAUGACCAUUACCCCCACAAAGAUAUUCCUGAAUGGUCACUACAAAGAUAAAAGUUUACGUCUCUUUGGGAAGAUGGAAUGCUUGAUAAAUAUCGCACUAAGUGAAGGAGAAUGCAGGCUCAGCAACAACUGACAAUCAAAGAUGCGAAACAUUGAUGUUGAAAUUGAGUUUCUGCCAUGGUGUGAAUCAAAAUGAAACAAGAUAGUGACAAGCAAAAAGGAGUUGAAGGUUGUCCGAAUUGUCCUUUCGGAUCAAUACAUUCAUAACCAAAAAAGAAGAAGAAAAAAAAAAAGCAACACGGAUGUAUGUUUGACAUCAUGAAUCUACAAUGGAGCUUCUUUAAGCUUUACUUUAGAGAAAGAAAGUUGAUCACCAAAAAGAUUCAUCAUAAUAUGAAAAAAGAAUGAAUGAAAUGUAUGAAUAAAAAGACCCCCAAAAAGAUAAAUGCAGUUUUAUCAUUACUUGCCAAAAAACACACAAGGCAAAAUACGAAACCCUCAAGUCCAAGCUUUGGUGGCAAACCGACCAAGUGCACCAAAAGCAUAGAUUCUUAACCACAAAGUAAGAAGGGAACCAAUUCUCAACAUCAACACCCCCAAAGUUACUUAUUGCUUUUACCAUGUUUCUGGUUGGGUUUCAACCAAGGAUGUAUAAACAAGAAAAAUGCAAGCACUUCAUAUACAACAAAUCCCUAUGACGAAGACGGGGAAGUAAUCAUUUAGCUAAUCGCUACCUUGUAAUGCAAACAUGUCAUAUCCUAACUCAGAAUGUGAUUUCAUCUUUGCUCUAAAUCUAAACUAUUUAGUUCUUGGCUACUGCAUAUGAAAACAGGAAACAUACCAAAGAAAACCAAUCAACGAUGCCACUCCGCUACCACAUGGUUCGCACCUAAGGGAGGCCUUUCCUAGCUUCCCCAUUUGCCUAAUUUCAACCAGUUCAUAUAGAUUCUCACCUCUAUGGAAGUAAAUAAAAAACAACAUAGGAUCAAAACACAUCCACAAUCAUGCUUAUAAUCAUUUUUUCACAUAGACAAUAACUUAUGCAAAGCAUAUACUUUCCCAUGAAACAAAAAGCAUCAUAAGCAACCUUAAUAUAAACAAAACAUUGAUAAUAAAAAAAUAUAUAUUUUACUGCAAAUUGUAAGCGUAGCUAAAUCCUCCAAUGGAAAACAUCAAAAUCAUGCCAAAGGAAUCAUCUAAAUAACCCCAAAUGUCCAUCAUUCAGAGAAGAACAAUUCUUGAUUUGAUUAAGUAAUAAAAGGUAGUAAUCAUACAAAAAAAAAGAAGGGCUAAGCUCCACCAGUGACCUUCAAGAACUAAAAUGAAAAUAACAUGCAAUUAAGGAAACAGAGCUAAAUGUUCCAUAUUUAUUACUUACUGUACAAGAACAAGCCUAUUAUUGUUAUUAUUGUUGUUAUUACCAUUUCCCAUGCCUCCUCUCAACUCGUCACCACCACCACCGUCCUCCAAAUUCUCCACUUCACCUCCCUUGGGCACCGUCACAAUUAGCUCCCCAUCCUCGUAAACAGCACUCGCCAGCUCCGGCCGUGUCGUCUCCGGCAGCCUGAACCGCCACAUAUCAAGCUCCAAAUCAUCCAGCAAACCAAAAUCCACCAAACUGUUCGACCUAAUCACAAUCUUAGUAACCCCAGGAUGGAUUUCAACCGUAUGAGCCCUCACGACAUCGCCGAUCCUCCCAUCCGUCUCCGCCACGAACUUGAAACAGUCAGGGCUUUCCUCCACCGCCACGUCUGCAUCCGACCUAAAAGGCAGCUCGAGGACGCGGCUGAAGAUGUGGGGUAACCUCCGGAGCUUCUUGUUGGACCCGCCGGUCAACAAGGUCUCAGCUUGAGACCUUGUGGUCCUUGGGUUCAUCUCGUAUUGGAUGGUGAUGUUCCUUUUCUUCGGCAACGGAUGGAUCCUCAUGGUGCUCUUUGAGGGUAUUAAAUAUUUGGGUUCCUUCUGGUUUUUUUUACAAAGAUUUGAAGAACUUAAAUCAAAGGAGAAGAAGGCUAGGAACAAGAUUAUUAAUAGCAACAACAACAAAGAUGCUUUCUUGAAGAAAAGUGAAGAGAUUUGGAAAGGAAUCAAAACCCUGAUCAAGUUUGUGAGUGGAAAAGGUAGAAUCAUAAAAAGCAAUGGUGUCAAUUCUUCAAAUUUUUAUUUUUUUUCUCUUGCUUUUUUGGGAAGAUCUUGAUAAAAACCCAUAAAAAGGGUUACAUAAAAACUAAAAUGGAAGAAAAGGAUUCUAAAAAUUAAAAAAAAAAAUUGUUCUUGGAGAUUGAGGGCUGAAAGGGGCAAUUAGAUUUUGUGAUUUGGUUUUUUUUUCCAAGAAUAUGAAACAAAAUUGUAUGAGAAACACAGAAAUCUGGCUUUUUAUUCAAGUGCAGGAAAACUAAGAGCCAAUGGCUAAAUUAUAGCCGGAAAUAGCAUAUAAAGAGAGUAGGUUUUGGUUAAUGGUCCCUCAAGUUUUAGAUAAUUACCUAUCAAGCCCACCUCCUUUUAUUUAUUUUCUUUUUACAGGAAAAAGGUAAAGAACUACUAUUUAGUGAUUUAUUUUUUGAUAAUUACUAUUUAGUGAUUAUUGUCUACAAAGUACACAGUUAAAAUCUAACACAUGGGUAAAUAUAUUAUAUUAUUUAUUAUUCCUAUUAGAAGACCCAAAAUCUACACAGCAAAAUGAAAUGCAAAAAAAAGUAAAAAUAAAAAAUUAAGUAGAUAACUAUUUUUAGAUUGUAAAAUUUAAUGCUCUUUGAUUCCCAUUUCAUCUAUAUUUAUACAAUUAUUUUAGAUUUUCACAAAGGUAUUACUAUCUAUUAACUAAGUAAUAACUCAAAUGUGGAUUUACUAAAAUCUUAUUAUUUCUUUCACUAAAUUGUUAAUAAAUUAUGUUUAUAUUUUAGUCAUUCAAUUUUAAAAAGUUAUAAAAUAGUUAUUGAAUUAUUCGAAAGUUUUAAUUUAAGUCAUUAAACUAUUAUUUUAUAUAUAUAAUAUCUAGCUAGCGAGUUCCAGUUGACGAUUUGAUGAUCAGUACAGAAGAUCAAUACCCAUCGGUGAGUAGAAAAAUAUAUUUUGGAUCUAAGUUGAUCUGAUAGCCAAUGUCGGAGAUCGAAGAAGAGAACUUUUUGGGUUUCAGUUCGCAGAUUCGUAACAUUCAAAGUUGUUUCAUAAAAAAAAUAAAUUGUAGAAAACAAUGGGAAUAUGAGCUUUCGAUUGGUGCAUGCAGUGUGAACAAAGAAGAUCAUAUACAACAAUGAUUUAACAACCUGAUGACUUAAAUAAAUUUUUUUGAAUAGUUCAGUAACAAUUUUGUAACUUUUAAAAGUUGAAUGGCCAAAACAUAAAUUUACUAAUAAUUGAGAGACACUGAAUGUAAUUUACACUAUUUUUAUAAAGCAAUAAAUAUUAAUUUGAGAGUAUUUUUUGUCUUAUUAUAUGUUCAUAUAAACUUUAGAAGAAAAAAAAUACGGAAUUCAAAUCCAAAACAUUCAACUUUCGCUCUCUCAACUUUAUCGCUAGCUAUAUUUAACUUUUAUAUCAAAUUUUUUAUAAAUUUGUUAAAUAAUUAAUUUUGUAUUUUGUUAUUUAUAUUAUGAAAAUAAUUCCUUUUUAUAAAAUAUUUAUAGAGGGAGUAUACAUUAUAAUUGUAAUUUAAUAUCAUGAAUCAAGUAACAGAGUCUAAUAAAUGAAAGUACAUAAAAAAAACCAAACAAAUUUGUUAUACUCACUUAAAUAAGUGAAAUAAACACUUGAUACUAAAUUUACAUUUACGAAAAUAUAAGUAAUAAUUGAGUUAUAGGUGAAAUGGUAAACAUUUAUUACGCAUUGAAUCUCUUUUCUUUUUUGAAAAUAAGGCAAUAGAUUAAUCAAUCAAAUAAAAUUAACUUACAUCAUACACUCAAUUUUAUUUUCCUUCCUAAUUCGACCAUUAUUCGUAGAAAUAUCAUACAGUAAAAUAGAAUUCCCAGAAGUGUGAUUUGCAUGACCUUAGUUAAGGAGUGAGAAGUUUUAUUGGUACUCGUACGAGUCUAAACCUUACAUUUUACAUUUUUAAUUGUUUCAUCUCAACAUUCAUGUAAAAGAAAUAAAAAAAAUAUUAUUGUAUUAAUAUUCAAUUUUUUAUUAAUAAUUUUUUAAAAUUGAGUUGAUGUUAAAUCAAUUUAAUUCAUAUAUUGAAAAAUAAAAUCACCUUUUUAUUUCCCAUAAAUAAUAUUGAAGAUAGGUUUGAAAAUCAAACAUUCUGUACUUGACAUGAGGUUUGCAUACAAGGACGGGGGACGAAGUUGCCAUGUUCCUUCCUAGAAGAAGGAUGAGAUAUGGCUUCAUUAUAAACCAGAAAUAAAUAAAUAAAAUAAUAAAACAAACCCUUUUAUCUAUAUUUGUUUAACAUAUUUUUGGCAUUCUGAGUUUGUAGGUUUGCGUAUUUACGUUUGUUUUCUUAUAAUAUAUGUAAAAUAUUUUGUACGUGAAAUUUUUAAACUCAACAUAUAGAGUAAGAGGAUUGACAAAUGUCCUAUAAAUAUUUUUUAAAACUACUUGUGGAAUAAAAAAAAGUACACUACCAAUGUACAAAAUAAUAGCCCUUAUUAUAUUAUAGAUUUUAUUGUUUAUAAGAUUUAUCACAUUUAUUAAAAAUAUUUGGUUAAGUAAAUUUAUUUGACAAGAAGAUUUUUGAUACUUACAAAUAAGAAUUUUGAUUAUAUUAAAAUUGUUUUGUUAAUUUUUUUAUUAAAUUCUGUUAUCUUUAAAAUUUUUUUUUCCGAUGACUACAAAAAUAAAAGGAAAAUAUAUGUUACUUUAAUUUUAAAUACCAAAAUUUAAUUAUUUAUACAGUAACUUUAUAUUUCAUAUAUAAAAUUUUAUAAAUAAUUCAUUUAUAUAAUUCGUGUAAUUUAUUUGGUACACUGCUAGUGAAGUUUUUAGAUUUUACAAAAAAAGUUAGAGAGCUAGAGGUUGAUAAGUGUUUUAUAGAAAUAUAAUAAAAUAUUAGAAAAAAAAAGACACGUGACAAUUUUUAAAGUUGUUUGUGAAAUAAAAAAAGACACUAUCGAUGUAUCAGAUGCUAACCUACAUAUUAAUUAUAUAUUAAUUAUAAUUUAUUUUCGUCAUUUAUUGAAUAUUAAGGAAAAAAAUUUGAAGCGCAUGGGCAUUAUUAGCACAGAAUAUGCCAAUAUUUUGUAUUGGACAAAUAUUUUAAUAAUGAUUUAUUUUUUAUUAUAAUAUUUUAAUUAUCAAACUAAUUGGUAAUUAUGCUUUUUAGUUCUUUACUUUAAUUACAUAAAAUUAAAAUUAUAUCAUUUAAUAAAUUAUAAAAUUAAAUGUAACUCAUGUAAUAUUAUAAACUGGUAAUAUAUAAAUGUUCAAGGUGAUAUGUAUAUUUUUUUUAAUAUAUUCAACUCUAAAAUAUGAACUUUAAAUUUUGUUCAAGUCCACCAAUAAUUGUAAUUUGCUAACUAAAGCCUAUUUCGAAUCUUCCAUGCUAUUUUUUAUUUUUAACAUAUAAUAAUUUUAUUUUAUAUAAUUAGUAAUUAUAUAUCUUUUAAUUACUACCCUUAUAAUAUAGCAUAUUUAAUUUUCAUAUCAUAUAAAUUAUAUUAUAUAUAAAAUAACAAAAUAUAAACUUGAAACGUGCCAGGUUGGGCUUAAGCUUGGAAUAUUAGAGUUCGAGUCUGAUCCAUAUUUUAAAUGUGUUUGUUCAAGUAAAUUUUGGGACUAGCAUUUUUAUCUAACCUAUUCUAAAUUUUGGGUGGGCUUUUGAUUUUAAGGGUCUGUUUGAUUGACGGAAUUGAUUUUCCGAAAAAUCAUUUCCAACUUUUCCAGCGUUUGAUUGGCGGAAAACAUUUUCCAUUUGGAAAAUGAACUCCAAAACAAGGGAAAAUGGGUUAUUUUUUAAGGAAAAUGUAUUACCCUUUCAAUUUCCGUAAGACAUUUUCCGUGCUCUCAUCUCUAUCGUCUCCUUCAUUCCUUCCUUCAUUUUCGGUAGAAAACUGCUUCUGUUUAUCGAUUUUUCAGUAACUUAUUUUUUUAAUUAUUCAAUAUUUUUUUAACACAAUUACAAAUAAUUUAUUUGAUAUUAAUUUUUUUCAAUUUAUAACGGUUAAUAUUGUAGCUUAAUAAUUGAGUAUUAUUAUAAAUAAAUCAUUGCAAUAUAUGUAAAAAUAAUUUAAAAUAUAAAAAAUUAUUAAUAUAUAUUAAUAUAUGUAAAAAUAACUUUUUUAGAAAAUAUUUUUAGGGAAUCUGCCAAACAGCAGAAAAUAUUUUACACAGAUUCAAUCAAACACCAGAAAAUAUUUUCCAGUAAAUUAUUUUACAGAAAAGUAAAACAUCUUUCAGAAAUCAUUUUACGGAAAACAUUUUACUGGCAAUCAAACAGACCCUAAGUAUGUAUCUCAGUCCUUAAACAAGUCUAGUUUAAAGUUAAGUUACGACCUAUUUACCAUUUAAUAGAAAAUAAAUUCAAUUGUUAUUUUAUUUUAUUUUAUUUCAUUUAAGUUUAUAGUAUCCUUUAUCAAACAGUCUAAUUAUAUCCAAUAAUUAAUUUUAAAUAAUUUACCAAACAAAUUUUAUAACUUAAAUUCAACACUUAAUUUCUUUGAUACUUAUUUAUUCAGCACUUAAUUUUUCAGUUUAUCAAAUACAACCUUAGUUUGGAACUAGUCAAUUUAGGUUUUAAAUUUUUUGGAUCAUUUUAAGUUUGAACCAUUUUGGAUUUUGACCAUUUAGGUUGUUUUAAGUUUAGUGCCUUCAAAUUUGCCAAUUAAGUUUUUCGAGUUGGGCGAUUUCUAGUUUUGUCAUUCGGAUUUGAGUGUUGAGUUUUGGUCUUUUCGACUUACUUGUUUAGGUGGUUUUGGUUCGAAUCAAUUUAGUUUGAAGUCAACAUAAAAAAUAAUUCAAGGUCAUUUUGAAUUUGGGCAAUUUUAAUUUUAUGUUAUUUUAAGUUCGGAUUUGUUUUUUCAAAUUUUGGAUAGAUAAAUAUAAAUUAUUAAGUUUUUAUGGUUAAAUUAAAAUUAACUAGAUUUAAAUUUGAGUUAAUGGGAUUAAGUUUUCGAAUUCAUAGCAAACAAAUAUUUUCUCCCUGAUGAUUUUUAGUGCUCAUAAAACUAAAAUAAUUUAGUAAUAAAAACUAUUUUUAUUUAUUUUAAGAUGGAGAUAGAAGGGGAAAAGACGGAUUUUUUUUCUUUUUUUCAUAAUGUAAAUAUACGAGAGAGUAGUUGAAUAUUUAUGGGUGUUAAGUUCCGUUGUGGAUUAGAAUAGUUACAUAAAAAUAUGUUGUUCAAUUGUUUUCUGAUGAUAAAUGAUAUUACAAUAAUCUCGACAUCUAUGGGUGUCAAGGUCCAUUUGAAUACAUUCUUCUAAAAAUUUUAUAUUUUGUUGUUAUAGACGGAUUUGACUUGAUGUUGUAGGACCUCAACACUUAUGGGUGUCAAGAUCAAGCUUUUUUGUUACACAUUGAACUCGAUUAUCAUGUAUUUUAAGCUGCCUAAACUUUCCAAUCACUUUCAAAAUUUAAAUUUUAUCAUGUAACUUAUUUUCCCAUGGUUCAUAAAUUAGUAUUAUGAAAAUUAUCAUUCAUAAGCUAGUUUAACAAAUAUUAUGUUAUUGUCGUGUUUACCAAUUGUUGAUGGUAAAUUUAUAAUUUUUUUAACUAAUAUUAUGUUAUUGUUUACCGAUUGUUAAAUAUAUUAUAAGUAUAUUAAAAGGAAGUUGUGUUAUUGUUUAUGGUUGCUAUUAUAGUAAGUUGGUGCUAAUUGGACUCUCUAUGUUACAUUGUAUGUUAACAUUGUUUGUAAGGUUAGAAAUUUAAUAUUCUCACACCACCAGUUGAGAAGAUGCAUGCUCUAACAUACUACUUGAGCUCUUCAUCAAUCACAUCGUCUACUGGAGGAUGCUACAUCAAUAUUUGCAACUCAAUGAACUUUACUUGACCCC
rnacentral:lncRNA from 1 species